UACGUAGGGGGCAAGCGUUGUCCGGAAUCAUUGGGCGUAAAGCGCGUGUAGGCGGCUGGGUAAGUCCGCUCUGAAAGCCCGGGGCUCAACCCCGGGAGGCGGGUGGAUACUGCUCAGCUCGAGUCCGGAAGAGGAGAAUGGAAUUCCUGGUAUAGCGGUGAAAUGCGCAGAUAUCAGGAAGAACACCCGUGGCGAAGGCGGUUCUCUGGGACGGUACUGACGCUGAGACGCGAAAGCGUGGGGAGCGAACAGG
rnacentral:rRNA from 1 species